UACGAAGGGGGCUAGCGUUGCUCGGAAUCACUGGGCGUAAAGCGCACGUAGGCGGCUUGUUAAGUCAGGGGUGAAAUCCUGGAGCUCAACUCCAGAACUGCCUUUGAUACUGGCGAGCUUGAGUUCGGGAGAGGUGAGUGGAACUGCGAGUGUAGAGGUGAAAUUCGUAGAUAUUCGCAAGAACACCAGUGGCGAAGGCGGCUUUCUGGACGACAACUGACGCUGAGACGCGAAAGCGUGGGGAGCAAACAGG
rnacentral:rRNA from 1 species